AUUGAACGCUGGCGGCAUGCCUUACACAUGCAAGUCGAACGGUAACAGGUCUUCGGAUGCUGACGAGUGGCGAACGAGUGAGUAAUACAUCGGAACGUGCCUAGUAGUGGGGGAUAACUACUCGAAAGAGUGGCUAAUACCGCAUGAGAUCUACGGAUGAAGGCAGGGGAUCGCAAGACCUUGUGCUACUAGAGCGGCCGAUGGCAGAUUAGGUAGUUGGUGGGAUAAAAGCUUACCAAGCCGACGAUCUGUAGCUGGUCUGAGAGGACGAUCAGCCACACUGGGACUGAGACACGGCCCAGACUCCUACGGGAGGCAGCAGUGGGGAAUUUUGGACAAUGGGCGCAAGCCUGAUCCAGCAAUGCCGCGUGCAGGAUGAAGGCCUUCGGGUUGUAAACUGCUUUUGUACGGAACGAAAAGCCCUGGGUUAAUACCCUGGGGUCAUGACGGUACCGUAAGAAUAAGCACCGGCUAACUACGUGCCAGCAGCCGCAGUAACAC
rnacentral:rRNA from 1 species